rnacentral:miRNA from 1 species
UUAGAUCAAUAAGUAUGGAAUGU